CUACGGGGUGCUGCAGUGGGGAAUAUUGCACAAUGGAGGAAACUCUGAUGCAGCAACGCCGCGUGGAGGAUGACGCAUUUCGGUGUGUAAACUCCUUUUAUAUAGGAAGAUAAUGACGGUACUAUAUGAAUAAGCACCGGCUAACUCCGUGCCAGCAGCCGCGGUAAUACGGAGGGUGCAAGCGUUACUCGGAAUCACUGGGCGUAAAGCGCGCGCAGGCGGCCUUUUAAGUUGGAUGUGAAAGCCUACGGCUCAACCGUAGAACUGCAUCCAAAACUACUAGGCUAGAGUGUGGGAGAGGAAGAUGGAAUUAGUUGUGUAGGGGUAAAAUCCGUAGAGAUAACUAGGAAUACCAAAAGCGAAGGCAAUCUUCUGGAACACUACUGACGCUGAGGCGCGAAAGCGUGGGGAGCAAACAGGAUUAGAUACCCUAGUAGUC
rnacentral:rRNA from 1 species